GACGAACGCUGGCGGCGUGCCUAAUACAUGCAAGUCGAACGAACCGCGACUAAGUGCUUGCACUCAGUCAAGGUGAGUGGCGAACGGGUGAGUAACACGUGGGUAACCUACCUCAUAGUGGGGGAUAACAGUCGGAAACGACUGCUAAUACCGCAUAGGACAUAGGCUCACAUGAUCCAGUGAUGAAAGGUGGCGCAAGCUAUCGCUAAGAGAUGGACCCGCGGUGCAUUAGCUAGUUGGUAGGGUAAAGGCCUACCAAGGCGAUGAUGCAUAGCCGACCUGAGAGGGGGAUCGGCAACAUUGGGACUGAGACACGGCCCAAACUCCUACGGGAGGCAGCAGUAGGGAAUCUUCCGAAAUGGACGCAAGUCUGACGGAGCAACGCCGCGUGAGUGAAGAAGGUCUUCGGAUCGUAAAGCUCUGUUGUUAGAGAAGAACAGCGCAUAGAGUAACUGCUAUGCGUGUGACGGUAUCUAACCAGAAAGCCACGGCUAACUACGU
rnacentral:rRNA from 1 species